rfam:Dipodomys ordii contig_23633, whole genome shotgun sequence.
GGGAAGGUGGCUCAGUGGUAGAGCACUUGCCUCCCAUGCAGGAGGCCCUGGGUUCGAUUCCUCAGCACCCCA